AAAAUGGGUGGCAAUUGCUCUUUUCAUCAGUGCACAAGAUAUUGUGUGCUGGGGACAAGACAAAGUUGAACAGCCAUCAAGAGAAAUGACUUCAACUGAGGGAGAUCAAGUGACUUUACUGUGCAAUUACACUAUUGAUCAACUGAGCCUGAAUUUAAGGAGAGGUUCAAUGCAACAUUGGACUCCAUAUUAAGAAGAGUUCCACUGACAAUCAAGAGUCUGCAUGUGUCUGACUCUGCUGUGUACUACUGUGCUCUGCA